UCUUUGCUUCCCUUUGGGCCACCUUC
rnacentral:piRNA from 1 species